rnacentral:rRNA from 2 species
GUGCGUCGUAGUCCGGAUUGGAGUCUGCAACUCGACUCCAUGAAGUCGGAAUCGCUAGUAAUCGUGGAUCAGAAUGCCACGGUGAAUACGUUCCCGGGCCUUGUACACACCGCCCGUCACACCAUGGGAGUGGGUUGCAAAAGAAGUAGGUAGCUUAACCUUCGGGAGGGCGCUUACCACUUUGUGAUUCAUGACUGGGGUGAAGUCGUAACAAGGUAACCGUAGGGGAACCUGCGGUUGGA